rnacentral:misc_RNA from 1 species
GAUGAAGAACGUAGCGAAAUGCGAUACUUGGUGGGAAGCCGUUAGGCCGAGGGCACGCCUGCCUGGGUGUCACACAUCGUUGCCCCAAUGCCAAUCGCCUCACUUUGUAGGUAUUUGCUUGGGGUGAAUGUUGGCCUCCCGUGAGCUUUGUCUCACGGUUGGUUGAAAAUCGAGUGCAUGGUGUCGGGUGUACCAUGAUGGAUGGUGGUUGAGUGAUGAUGCUCGAGACCAAUCAUGGGUAACUCCACCAGAAUUGGGCUCGGUGACCCACAUGCGUCCCUUGGAUGCUCCCUAAGGAGACCUCAGGUCAGGCGGGGCUACCCGCUGAGUUUAAGCAUAUCAAUAAGCGGAGGA